rnacentral:rRNA from 1 species
GAUGAACGCUGGCGGCGCGCCUAAUAUAUGCAAGUCGAGCGAAUGGAUUAAGAGCUUGCUCUUAUGAAGUUAGCGGCGGACGGGUGAGUAACACGUGGGUAACCUGCCCAUAAGACUGGGAUAACUCCGGGAAACCGGGGCUAAUACCGGAUAACAUGUUGAACCGCAUGGUUCGAAAUUGAAAGGCGGCUUCGGCUGUCACUUAUGGAUGGACCCGCGUCGCAUUAGCUAGUUGGUGAGGUAACGGCUCACCAAGGCAACGAUGCGUAGCCGACCUGAGAGGGUGAUCGGCCACACUGGGACUGAGACACGGCCCAGACUCCUACGGGAGGCAGCAGUAGGGAAUCUUCCGCAAUGGACGAAAGUCUGACGGAGCAACGCCGCGUGAGUGAUGAAGGCUUUCGGGUCGUAAAACUCUGUUGUUAGGGAAGAACAAGUGCUAGUUGAAUAAGCUGGCACCUUGACGGUACCUAACCAGAAAGCCACGGCUAACUACGUGCCAGCCGCCGCGGUAA